rnacentral:rRNA from 1 species
GGGUUGUGAGGUUAAGCGACUAAGCGUACACGGUGGAUGCCCUGGCAGUCAGAGGCGAUGAAGGACGUGCUAAUCUGCGAUAAGCGUCGGUAAGGUGAUAUGAACCGUUAUAACCGGCGAUUUCCGAAUGGGGAAACCCAGUGUGUUUCGACACACUAUCAUUAACUGAAUCCAUAGGUUAAUGAGGCGAACCGGGGGAACUGAAACAUCUAAGUACCCCGAGGAAAAGAAAUCAACCGAGAUUCCCCCAGUAGCGGCGAGCGAACGGGGAGCAGCCCAGAGCCUGAAUCAGUGUGUGUGUUAGUGGAAGCGUCUGGAAAGGCGCGCGAUACAGGGUGACAGCCCCGUACACAAAAAUGCACAUACUGUGAGCUCGAUGAGUAGGGCGGGACACGUGGUAUCCUGUCUGAAUAUGGGGGGACCAUCCUCCAAGGCUAAAUACUCCUGACUGACCGAUAGUGAACCAGUACCGUGAGGGAAAGGCGAAAAGAACCCCGGCGAGGGGAGUGAAAAAGAACCUGAAACCGUGUACGUACAAGCAGUGGGAGCCUCUUAAUGGGGUGACUGCGUACCUUUUGUAUAAUGGGUCAGCGACUUAUAUUCUGUAGCAAGGUUAACCGAAUAGGGGAGCCGAAGGGAAACCGAGUCUUAACUGGGCGUUAAGUUGCAGGGUAUAGACCCGAAACCCGGUGAUCUAGCCAUGGGCAGGUUGAAGGUUGGGUAACACUAACUGGAGGACCGAACCGACUAAUGUUGAAAAAUUAGCGGAUGACUUGUGGCUGGGGGUGAAAGGCCAAUCAAACCGGGAGAUAGCUGGUUCUCCCCGAAAGCUAUUUAGGUAGCGCCUCGUGAAUUCAUCUCCGGGGGUAGAGCACUGUUUCGGCAAGGGGGUCAUCCCGACUUACCAACCCGAUGCAAACUGCGAAUACCGGAGAAUGUUAUCACGGGAGACACACGGCGGGUGCUAACGUCCGUCGUGAAGAGGGAAACAACCCAGACCGCCAGCUAAGGUCCCAAAGUCAUGGUUAAGUGGGAAACGAUGUGGGAAGGCCCAGACAGCCAGGAUGUUGGCUUAGAAGCAGCCAUCAUUUAAAGAAAGCGUAAUAGCUCACUGGUCGAGUCGGCCUGCGCGGAAGAUGUAACGGGGCUAAACCAUGCACCGAAGCUGCGGCAGCGACACUAUGUGUUGUUGGGUAGGGGAGCGUUCUGUAAGCCUGUGAAGGUGUACUGUGAGGUAUGCUGGAGGUAUCAGAAGUGCGAAUGCUGACAUAAGUAACGAUAAAGCGGGUGAAAAGCCCGCUCGCCGGAAGACCAAGGGUUCCUGUCCAACGUUAAUCGGGGCAGGGUGAGUCGACCCCUAAGGCGAGGCCGAAAGGCGUAGUCGAUGGGAAACAGGUUAAUAUUCCUGUACUUGGUGUUACUGCGAAGGGGGGACGGAGAAGGCUAUGUUGGCCGGGCGACGGUUGUCCCGGUUUAAGCGUGUAGGCUGGUUUUCCAGGCAAAUCCGGAAAAUCAAGGCUGAGGCGUGAUGACGAGGCACUACGGUGCUGAAGCAACAAAUGCCCUGCUUCCAGGAAAAGCCUCUAAGCAUCAGGUAACAUCAAAUCGUACCCCAAACCGACACAGGUGGUCAGGUAGAGAAUACCAAGGCGCUUGAGAGAACUCGGGUGAAGGAACUAGGCAAAAUGGUGCCGUAACUUCGGGAGAAGGCACGC